GCGCUUGCUUCAGCAGCACAUAUAAAAUUGGAGCAAUACAGAGAAUAAUAGCAUGGCCCCCGUGCAAGGAUGACAUGGAAAUUCGUGAAGCAUUUUAUAUUUUU
rnacentral:snRNA from 1 species